rnacentral:tRNA from 1 species
GGAUUCUAUGGUGUAAUGGUUAGCACUCUGGACUCUGAAUCCAGCGAUCCGAGUUCAAGUCUCGGUAGAACCU